rfam:Firmicutes bacterium CAG:145 genomic scaffold, scf136
AUAAUGAUACUUACGCAUUGCCGGGUCACACCAUGGUGCGUCCCGGAGGAAAUCGGGGAGGCUUAAAGGCCUAUGA